GUAGGGUCCGAGCGUUAUCCGGAAUCAUUGGGCGUAAAGAGCUCGUAGGCGGUUCAGCAAGUCGGCUGUGAAAGUUCGAGGCUCAACCUCGAAAUUGCAGUCGAUACUGCUGUGACUUGAAUUCGGUAGAGGAGAAUGGAAUUCCCGGUGUAGCGGUGAAAUGCGCAGAUAUCGGGAGGAACACCAGUAGCGAAGGCGGUUCUCUGGGCCGAUAUUGACGCUGAGGAGCGAAAGCGUGGGGGGAGCAAACAGGAUUAGAUACCCUGGUAGUCCACGCCCGUAAACGUUGGAUGCCAGGUGUGGCGGCCCUACCAACGACUGCCGUGCCGAAGCUAACGCAUUAAGCAUCCCCGCCUGGGGAGUACGGCCGCAAGGCUA
rnacentral:rRNA from 1 species